GAGUUAAAAUCAAUAAUUCAUUUAUUAAUUAUUGAGGUUUAAAUCUGUUGUAGAAAUUACUUGAAUUUAUUAAGAUUUGGAUAGGGUUUGGUUAGGAUUUGACUAAGAUUUGGUUAAGAUUUGUUUAGAAUUUUAUUAGAAUUUGGUUAAGAUUUAUUUAAGAUUUAUUUAGGAUUAGUUAGGAUUUAUUUAAGAUUUGGUUAGGAUUUGUUUAAGGUUUGGUUAGGAUUUGGUUAGGAUUUGGUUAGAGUUUGGUUAGGAUUUAUUUAGAAUUUAUUUAAUAUUUGACUAAGAUUUGGUUAAGAUUUAUUUAAAAUUUAUUAGAAUUUUGUUAGAAUUUUUUAGGAUUUGACUAGGAUUUAUUUAGGAUUUGACUAGGAUUUAUUUAGGAUUUGAUUAGGAUUUGACUAGGAUUUGAUUAGAAUUUGAUUAGAUUUUGAUUAGGAUUUAGUUAAAGUUUCUAUUUUAAUAUUUUAUUAAG
rnacentral:lncRNA from 1 species